rnacentral:rRNA from 1 species
AGAAUCAACGCUGGCGGCGUGCCUAACACAUGCAAGUCGAACGCGAAAGGGGACUUCGGUUCCUGAGUAGAGUGGCGUCCGGGUGAGUAACACGUGGGUAAUCUGCCUUCGGGUGGGGAAUAACUCAGGGAAACUUGAGCUAAUACCGCAUAAUGCAGCGGCACCUAAUGGUGAUUAGUUGUUAAAGCGGGGGAUCGCAAGACCUCGCGCCUGAAGAGGAGCCUGCGGCAGAUUAGCUAGUUGGUAAGGUAAUGGCUUACCAAGGCUUCAAUCUGUA